UGAAAAGACCUGUGAGGAUUUAGCGGAGGGCGGCCGCUACUCGGCCCCGCCGGACAGCUCAACCCUCCCGGGCAGUUCGGUGUCACCUCAGAACUCGGUGUCACCUCAGAGCUCGGUGUCACCUCAGGGCUCGGUGUCACCUCAGGCUGAGGAUGACACCACCCCAACGUCCUCGCUCUUCGUUGGCAGCCUGACCACUGAAGAUGACACGAAGCUCAGCCAGUUUGAGGGAGGAGAGGGGAGCAGCCUCCCUUCCCGCAGCACCGGCGCCCCAAUUCCCGCGGGAGCCAUCGUUGGGAUCGCCGUGGCCGCGGUGGCCGUGGCCGGGAUCGUCCUGGUCGGGAUUUACGUCAGCGGUCACCCCACGUCCACCGC